rnacentral:tRNA from 1 species
GUCAGGAUGGCCGAGUGGUCUAAGGCGCCAGACUCAAGUUCUGGCCUCCGAAUGGAGGCGUGGGUUCGAAUCCCACUUCUGACA